rnacentral:rRNA from 1 species
GCCCAGAUGGGAUUAGCUAGUAGGUGGGGUAAAGGCUCACCUAGGCGACGAUCCCUAGCUGGUCUGAGAGGAUGACCAGCCACACUGGAACUGAGACACGGUCCAGACUCCUACGGGAGGCAGCAGUGGGGAAUAUUGCACAAUGGGCGCAAGCCUGAUGCAGCCAUGCCGCGUGUAUGAAGAAGGCCUUCGGGUUGUAAAGUACUUUCAGCGGGGAGGAAGGGAGUAAAGUUAAUACCUUUGCUCAUUGACGUUACCCGCAGAAGAAGCACCGGCUAACUCCGUGCCAGCAGCCGCGGUAAUACGGAGGGUGCAAGCGUUAAUCGGAAUUACUGGGCGUAAAGCGCACGCAGGCGGUUUGUUAAGUCAGAUGUGAAAUCCCCGGGCUCAACCUGGGAACUGCAUCUGAUACUGGCAAGCUUGAGUCUCGUAGAGGGGGGUAGAAUUCCAGGUGUAGCGGUGAAAUGCGUAGAGAUCUGGAGGAAUACCGGUGGCGAAGGCGGCCCCC